GACGAACGCUGGCGGCGUGCUUAACACAUGCAAGUCGAACGGAAAGGCCCUGCUUUUGUGGGGUGCUCGAGUGGCGAACGGGUGAGUAACACGUGAGUAACCUGCCCUUGACUUUGGGAUAACUUCAGGAAACUGGGGCUAAUACCGGAUAGGAGCUCCUGCUGCAUGGUGGGGGUUGGAAAGUUUCGGCGGUUGGGGAUGGACUCGCGGCUUAUCAGCUUGUUGGUGGGGUAGUGGCUUACCAAGGCUUUGACGGGUAGCCGGCCUGAGAGGGUGACCGGCCACAUUGGGACUGAGAUACGGCCCAGACGCCAACGGGAGGCAGCAGUGGGGAAUAUUGCACAAUGGGCGGAAGCCUGAAGCAGCAACGCCGCGUGCGGGAUGACGGCCUUCGGGUUGUAAACCGCUUUCGCCUGUGACGAAGCGUGAGUGACGGUAAUGGGUAAAGAAGCACCGGCUAACUACGU
rnacentral:rRNA from 1 species